rnacentral:rRNA from 1 species
CAUGCAAGGUCGUACGAGAGUUUUUAACUCUAGUGGCGGACGGGUGAGUAANANGNNAAGAAUUUGCCUUUAGGAGGGGGAUAACAACUGGAAACGGUUGCUAAUACCCCAUAUGCUUUUGAGUGAAAUGGGUUUCCGCCUAAAGAGAAGCUUGCGGCUGAUUAGCUUGUUGGUGAGGUAAUGGCUCACCAAGGCGACGAUCAGUAUCUGGUUUGAGAGGACGAUCAGACACACUGGAACUGAGACACGGUCCAGACUCCUACGGGAGGCAGCAGUGGGGAAUUUUCCGCAAUGGGCGAAAGCCUGACGGAGCAAUACCGCGUGAGGGAUGAAGGCCUAUGGGUUGUAAACCUCUUUUUUCAGGGAGGAACAAAAUGACGUGUACCUGAAGAAUAAGCAUCGGCUAACUCCGUGCCAGCAGCCGCGGUAAGACGGGGGAUGCAAGUGUUAUCCGGAAUCACUGGGCGUAAAGCGUCUGUAGGUGGUUAAGUAAGUCAACUGUUAAAUCUUGAGGCUUAACCUCAAAAUCGCAGUCGAAACUGCUUGACUAGAGUAUAGUAGGGGUAAAGGGAAUUUCCAGUGGAGCGGUGAAAUGCGUA